rnacentral:rRNA from 1 species
CCCCAGACUCCUACGGGAGGCAGCAGUGGGGAAUAUUGCACAAUGGGGGAAACCCUGAUGCAGCGACGCCGUGUGAGUGAAGAAGUAUUUCGGUAUGUAAAGCUCUAUCAGCAGGAAAGAAAAUGACGGUACCUGACUAAGAAGCCCCGGCUAACUACGUGCCAGCAGCCGCGGUAAUACGUAGGGGGCAAGCGUUAUCCGGAUUUACUGGGGGUAAAGGGAGCGUAGACGGCAGCGCAAGUCUGGAGUGAAAUGCCGGGGCCCAACCCCGGAACUGCUCUGGAAACUGUGAAGCUGGAGUGCAGGAGAGGUAAGUGGAAUUCCUAGUGUAGCGGUGAAAUGCGUAGAUAUUAGGAGGAACACCAGUGGCGAAGGCGGCUUACUGGACUGUAAAUGACGCUGAGGCUCGAAAGCGUGGGGAGCAAACAGGAUUAGAUACCCCUGUAAG